UAUUUGUAGGCAGUUUUGCUUUUAAUUGUUAAUUAA
rnacentral:tRNA from 1 species